CUCUGGUUAUGCCUGAAUCAGUAGGCCCUGCCUCCUCCUGUUAUUUAUGCAACAUCUGCCAACCUGAGCCAUGGAUAUGUGGAACACUUAAAUGUCACUGUGGUGCAACUAUCAAGGUUAGAUGUGAAGAAUACAGGGUGGAACAUACAAGGUUGAGUGUGGUCUGGGGGAAAAUGACCAAGAUGUGCCUUUGAGGAGUUCACAGUAUGGCUGGAGAGAAGCCUGUAUCAUUCCUGGAUUGUGACUGCGUGCAUUCCAAGGGCAUUCCACAUGGCCCCCAAAGGAAGGGCAGGACGUGAGGACAGAGUGCCUCACUCAGGGACGUGGCUGUUGUAUGUCAGGCCCCUUCCAGUCACCUUACCCUUGGCUCUUCCUAUAACAUGGGAGAAUCUUUCUUUUUAGGAUUUGGUGGCUCAACAGGUCUGGAAGGAUUUGGUAAGGGGAGGCUUCCUUGGGCUCUAUUGCUGGGAGAGGAAAAGAAGUUUAGCAGGUCGAAUGGCAAAGGCAAAACCACCGUGGAAGGUUUGUCUGUGGACAAGGCCUGGAGCGUGUGGAGGUAGCGCAGCUGAGCGGCGGCCGGGGUGCCGGCCAGGAUCUCAGCUGCAGUUCUCAGGGACUCGGAGGCGGCCUUCUCCCCUUCCGCAGCGAUCACCUAGAGAACGGACCGAAGAGAAGCACAGUGACUUUUCCUCUCCGUUCCUCCGAGGCUCGACUCACUUCUCAGGGUUACCCAGCAGACAAGCGCGGAGCACCUGCCAGGGGACAGGCACCGGAAGCACAGCAGACUGCCCUCUUUCUCAAGGAUCUUGGUCUAGGGGAGACAGAUCACACUAUCGGUGUAAUUUAGGGCGGAAUCUGUCAAGGGCCAUGGCAAGCAUAGUGAAGUGUUAGGGGAGUUACUAAUUAUGUCUGUGGGGCCUUGAAAGAUGAGUAGGACUUUGCCAUAUUUAGAAAAAGUUGGCCAGCAUCCUAGGCAAGGUCGUAGAAGCCUGAAAGGGGGACUUCUACCUAGGGCAAAAUGAACAGGUAAGCAUUUCAGAAGAAAAAGCACCUGGCUCACUACCCAAAUGCCACCAUCAAGUGGACAAAGAGGACCCAGAGAUGGAGAAGGAAGAAGUAUUGAUGCACGCUUCACCACGGAGGAACCUUAGGAAGAAUAUGUUAAGUGAAAGAAGCCAAACACAGAAGGCCAUGUAAUACGUGACUGCAUUUGUACGACGUGUCCAGGACAGCCAAAUCCAGACAGGAGAUCAGUCACUGAAUCCAAGGCCACCUGUGGAGGGAAGAGGGGAGCCGUCAGUGAGAAACCCCCUGCGGAGUGGAGCUCCCCUACGCCUCAUGCCCCUCAUGCCCGGUGGUCUCUGCUGGGAACAUACGUUUUCUCUGAAAGGACUUUUGUUUGAACAUGACAGUGUCUUGCAAAAAGUUCCUUAACUUUGCACGGAGCCAAAUGUUUGUGGAAUUGAAGACGGUGUGGAGGGCUGAAUAGUGGCUUCCAAAGACAUCCAUGUCCCGAUCCCCAGAGCCUGUGAAUGCUGCCCCAGAAGAGACCUCGCAGAUGGGGUUAAGUUAGAGGAUCUUAAAAUGGGGAGAGUAUCUUGGGUCUUCGCAGCAGGCCCCAAAUGCAGUCCCAAGUGUCCUGCUAAGAGGGAAGCAGAGGGAGGUGUGGCUACAGGAGAGGAGGAGGUGAAUCUGGGGGCAAAUGUUGGAGUGAUGGGCUGGGACAAUGGAGAAAGGGGCUGGCCAACCUGGGGAAGCGGGGAGCCUUGAGAGAGGCUGGAAAAGGCAAGGAAACGAAUUCUCCUCUCAGAACUUCCAGAAGGAAGCGGCCCUGCCAACACCUUGACUUUGGCCCCCGUGAAACUGAUCUGGCACUUCUGGCCUUCAGAGGUGUAAGAGACUAGAUUGGCAUUGUUUUAAGUCCCUGAAUUUGUGGCAGUUUGUUACAGAAGCCACGGGAAACUGAUGCAGAUGGGGUACUUUUGGGAUGCUUUUCUUCCAAUCCUUCCCAUGGUUCCUUCAUCUCACUCAGCCAGCCUCCUGUUCCCCUAGAGCCGCGUUUACUCUAUCUCCAUAUUCUGCUUUAUUUUUUCCCAUAGCAAUUGUCACCCUGUGGUAUUAUAUCAUUGCUUGUUUAUUUCCUGCCACCAGCUGGACUGUAAUGUGAGCAGGGCCAUACUGUCAGCUUUAUCCUGAUGCCUGCAACAGUGCCUGGUAGAUCAUGUAUGAUCAAUAAAUAGGAGAUGAAUGGAAAAAAAAGAUGCAUCGACUAGAGAACCAAAGUCUGGGGUCUCCCAAACGGCUUUCAUUUACAGGUGCCUCCUUCCUGCCAGUGGCACCCCAUUCCCCCUCUCCCCAGACCCAGAGGGCAGGAGAAAGUGAACUGUGGGCUCUGGAAAGGAGGGGUGGGGAUGGAGCUCUGCAUGUGGGCCCACACUCUUUUCCUUUUUAAUGAUUUCUGAUGAUUUCUCAGCGGCUACAAGGUCAGCUAGCCUAGUGCACGGAGAGCCCUGAGAAGGCUGGCUAAUUUAGGGUGAGAGGAAGGGAUGUGGAAAAGAGGAGGUGGCAUCUUAAAGGACAAAGAGGGUUUUGCCUGUGGGGAGAAGGGAAGCCACCCAAGAGGAGGUGUGUGAGUAUCAAGUGCUGCAUUUGGGAUAAGCGCUGAGGGCA